rnacentral:rRNA from 1 species
UUUAUCGGAGAGUUUGAUCCUGGCUCAGGACGAACGCUGGCGGCGUGCCUAAUACAUGCAAGUCGAG